rnacentral:rRNA from 1 species
CCAAUAGCGUAUAUUAAAGUUGUUGCAGUUAAAAAGCUCGUAGUUGAAUUUCGGAAUCAAUGGGUUGGUCAUGCCCUCGGUAUGUACUGAUUUCAUUGGUUCUCACCUUCUAAGGAACCAUGAUGUCAUUUAUUUGAUGUUGUGGGAAAUUAGGACUGUUACCUUGAAAAAAUUAGAGUGUUUAAAGCAGGCUAACGCUUGAAUACAUUAGCAUGGAAUAAUGAAAUAGGACAUCCGAUUCUAUUUUGUUGGUUUCUAGGAUCGAUGUAAUGAUUAAUAGGGAUAGUUGGGGGCAUUAGUAUUCAAUUGUCAGAGGUGAAAUUCUUGGAUUUAUUGAAGACUAACUACUGCGAAAGCAUUUGCCAAGGAUGUUUUCAUUAAUCAAGAACGAAAGUUAGGGGAUCGAAGACGAUCAGAUACCGUCGUAGUCUUAACCAUAAACUAUGCCGACUAGGGAUCGGAUGAUGCUUAUUUUUUAAUGACUCAUUCGGCACCUUAC